rnacentral:rRNA from 1 species
AUUGAACGCUGGCGGCAUGCCUAACACAUGCAAGUCGAACGAGUGGCGGACGGGUGAGUAACGUAUGGGAACCUGCCGGGUAGAGGGGGAUAACUGCUCGAAACGGUAGCUAAUACCGCAUACUAUUCGAUGGGCCCAUAUGGGAUUAGCUGGUUGGUGGGGUAAAGGCUCACCAAGGCGACGAUCACUAGCGGGUCUGAGAGGAUGAUCCGCCACACUGGGACUGAGACACGGCCCAGACUCCUACGGGAGGCAGCAGUGGGGAAUUUUGGACAAUGGGCGCAAGCCUGAUGCAGCCAUGCCGCGUGUAUGAAGAAGGCCUUCGGGUUGUAAAGGACUUUCGGCGGGGAGGCGGUACCUGAAGAAGAAGCACCGGCUAACUCCGUGCCAGCAGCCGCGGUAAUUC